AGGAGAAGAAGUACAUUUUCCGAGUAUAAAAUUUCAUAGCAUCUCUAGAAUCAUAAUCAAUAAAUUAAUGAAGACUCUGAAAGUGCCAUUUCCGAUGAUCUAGAGAUUCCAAAUAUUCAACUCCCCCCCCCUCAGUUAAUCAAGCAUCAUAUAUUCAGGGCUGUAGCAAGGGGGGGGGGCAAUAAUUUGCUAAUAAUCAUUUUUUUUUCAAAAUCAUGCAGACCUUUAUCAUUUAAUCCAUGACAAACUGCAAAGAAUGAAGAUAUUACCCAUACUUUCCUGCAACUUAUCCAAUAUAUAGUUAAUUAAAUACGCCUUCGCCCAUUUAGUACUACUAAAUUGUAAAUUUUGACAUACUAAGACGCUGUUUUCUGACCAGUAGAAUUCUGUCAAAUCUUCCCCAAAGUCCAGGAAAUGGCAUUUCAGAGACUCUAAAUUUAAAAAUUUCCUCGGGCCUUCGGCCCUCACUUUCAGCCCCCC